GGCGUGGACUCCACUCAGGGCCUGGGCGUUCCACCCCUAACCCUAACCGUGGUUCCUCGCCGCUGCCAUCCAGCCCCGAGGAGCACACAAAGGAAAUUCUCACAGUGGACCGCACCAAGGUUAAGGUGGACUUAAUAAGAACGACAUUCAAUCUUGCUUCCGCUUUGGUGUUCAGUGGCACGCUUUUUUAUUGUUGGUUUAUGCCGACAAUGAAUGAAUCUCUUGUUAGAGAAAGGUCAAAGUUGAAAGAUGACAUAAUUCAAGCCGUAAGGCAAGAGUUCGAGAACAAGAGGAUACAUAUUGAAGGUGAAAAGUGUAAAGCCAAAAAUUCUCAAGGCCAAAGCAUGCAAACCUGAGGAAAUCAUGGUAGGUGGGCACCAAGCUUUGGAUGAUUUAGAUGAGGCCUAGAGUAAUUACUAAGCCCGGAAACCAAACAAAGUAGUAUUGAGCUGAGAGGCUUUAUUAGUUGUGCACUUUGGGGGAAAAGAAAUCCAUCUUCUCAGUGUAGGAAAGUGUAAAGUUUUAUGAUAGCUGAUACAAUGAUCUGAAGGUUGUGGAGCGUUGUUAAUUUUUGCA